rnacentral:misc_RNA from 1 species
GAGAUGCCAGCUCCUGUGUAAGCUCGUUCUGCUCAGCCAGAAGGUGAGAGAAUGCUUCCUGGAUGUCAGGAAGCAGUUUCUGGAUAGCCUGGUGCUGACCACAAUACAUUGUCAGCGACAAAAGCCAGACAGUGCCAGCACAGCGCUCUUGUUUCCGGCUACUGUAUAAUAGAUCAUCAAAAAUCUUUCUAGUGAUUGCAUCUCUAACUGUACCAUGGCCAUCUUCAUUGGCUUCAGAUUCCACACAGGUAGAACUUGUAGAAGACACAUCUCCCAUCAAAAAGUUCGAACUCAUGGAAAGUGAAGUGUAGUUACUCUUAAGAAUCAUGUCA